GCCGGAGUGGUGGAAUCGGUAGACGCAGGGGACUCAAAAUCCCCCGGGCUUUAUGCCUGUGCGAGUUCGAGUCUCGCCUCCGGCACCA
rnacentral:tRNA from 1 species